GCCUGGGUGGCUCAGUCGGUUGAGCUUCCGACUUUGGCUCAGGUCAUGAUCUCACGGUUUGUGGGUUCGAGCCCCACAUCGGGCU
rnacentral:tRNA from 1 species